rnacentral:rRNA from 1 species
UACGUAGGGGGCUAGCGUUGUCCGGAUUUAUUGGGCGUAAAGAGCGUGUAGGCGGCCAGAUAGGUCUGCUGUGAAAACUCGAGGCUCAACCUCGAGAUGUCGGCGGAAACCAUUUGGCUAGAGUCCGGAAGAGGAAAGUGGAAUUCCCGGUGUAGUGGUGAUAUGCGUAGAUAUCGGGAGGAACACCUGUGGCGAAGGCGGCUUUCUGGGCCCUACCUGACGCUGAGACGCGAAAGCGUGGGGAGCAAACAGG